rnacentral:rRNA from 1 species
UACGAAGGGUGCAAACGUUGCUCGGAAUUAUUGGGCGUAAAGCGCACGUAGGCGGCUUGGCAAGUCGGAUGUGAAAGCCCUCGGCUCAACCAAGGAAGUGCAUCCGAAACUGCUGAGCUUGAGUACUUAAGAGGAUCGCGGAAUUCCCGGUGUAGAGGUGAAAUUCGUAGAUAUCGGAAGGAACACCAGUGGCGAAGGCGGCCAUCUGGACGGUGACUGACGCUGAGACGCGAAAGCGUGGGGAGCAAACAGG